rnacentral:rRNA from 1 species
GCGAGUCAUUGUAGCAAUACAAGGCAGACGGCUCAGUAACGCGUAGUCAAUCUACCCUAUGGACGGGAAUAACCUCGGGAAACUGAGAAUAAUGCCCGACAGAACAUUAUACCUGGAACGGUUUAUGUUUCAAAUGAUUUAUCGCCGUAGGAUGGGACUGCGGCCUAUCAGUUUGUUGGUGAGGUAAUGGCCCACCAAGACUAUUACAGGUACGGGCUCUGAGAGGAGUAGCCCGGAGAUGGGUACUGAGACACGGACCCAGGCCCUAUGGGGCGCAGCAGGCGAGAAAACUUUGCAAUGUGCGAAAGCACGACAAGGUUAAUCCGAGUGGUUUCUGCUAAAGAAACCUUUUGCUAGUCCUAGAAACACUAGUGAAUAAGGGGUGGGCAAGUUCUGGUGUCAGCCGCCGCGGUAAAACUAGCACCUCAAGUGGUCAGGAUGAUUAUUGGGCCUAAAGCAUCCGUAGCUCGUUUUGUAAGUUUUCGGUUAAAUCCAUACGCUUAACGUAUGGGCUGCCGGGAAUACUGCAUAACUAGGAAGUGGGAGAGGUAGACGGUACUCGGUAGGAAGGGGUAAAAUCCUUUGAUCUAUUGAUGACCACCUGUGGCGAAGGCGGUCUACCAGAACACGUUCGACGGUGAGGGAUGAAAGCUGGGGGAGCAAACCGGAUUAGAUACCCGGGUAGUCCCAGCUGUAAACUAUGCAAACUCAGUGAUGCAUUGGCUUGUGGCCAAUGCAGUGCUGCAGGGAAGCCGUUAAGUUUGCCGCCUGGGAAGUACGUACGCAAGUAUGAAACUUAAGGGAAUUGGCGGGGGAGCACCACAAGGGGUGAAGCCUGCGGU